AUGGGCUAAAAAUUGCCCUUCAAUGAAUGUUUUAAACCUUAGUCGAGGGAGUAACCUCUGCGAUUCUGUUAAAUAAGGUUUGUUGUGGUCUUUGCGAUUGUAAUGGGAGUUCUAUCUCCUGUUCUGCAAGAUGAAAUUGUCGGCAGUGCCUGCUUAGGGUGGAAUUAAAUUCCCAUCACAUUCUCAGAUGUUUGUGUGAAUGCUGGAAGGGGAUACUAAAGAGUCCACAUUUCCGAGCAGUGGAUAUGCGUGCUCUGUAUGUAAAACAGAUUUGGCUUCAAAUCCUCCGUAAUUAUAACCCUUCAGAGAAGACUUGGGGAGGCUUCUACCCAUUCCCCAAACCCUUAUUGAUGGGAAGGCAUUUCCAAUCAUUGCUCACCGCCAUUUAGUGAAACAAAAUUUUGGUUUUGAUCUCAGAUACGGAUGUGACAGGUUAUCGUUGUAUGAUUUUUUUUUCUAGAUGACAAUGGAGUGCCCUCAUGCCCCACAUGGCGGGGGCACUUUGCGUCCGCAUCUGAUGAGGACAAACGACUGAUUUAUGUCGGUGGAGGGAGGAUUUGAUGACUUCCUCCGUAGUGCUGCUGUUCACAACGCGAAGGGGGACAAAGCGGAUCUUCUCUUCGACGCGAAUAACCCUCUGGAGCGCUCACGGAAAGCUUUAGACAAGUUGCAUGUGACCACCAUUAAGGUUUUCGAUUACUGACACACAAAGCUGGAAAACUAUGGAUAACAUACUCAGGCCUGUGUUUGUCGUAAUUGCAUUUGGGAGUAUAGUUCAAGUGGAUUGGCAUUGACAGCCCUCCAGACUUUGAUUACUGUGUUGAUGCUGCUACCACACUGGAUCUUUGACCGUUUCUUAAUUUUGAGGAUAUCAGUCUGAACAAUGAUCAGAACACAUCUACCCAGUUGCACGUGUUGGCGGUAAUAGGACAGGGAAGCUAUCCUUGCAAGUAGGGGGGUCAUACAUGUGGGAAUAAGAUGAUCAAAUGAUAACCAACAAAUCAAUUUCCCCAGUGGAGAUUUUUGAAGUUCAAGUCCAAUCCUUGUGUAUCUACACAAGAAGUUGUUAAAAACUAUGGUAACAUGAUAUCAAACAUUAGCCCAGUAUUGUGGUUUUGAUUUCUAUACGGGAAGCUAAAUAGCUAUGGGCAAUAGACUCGAGCCUUUAUUGAACAGAACUGUAGGCAAGAUCAGUUGAACAUUGUAGGUCCUCUUCCAACAGGAUAUUGGUGUUCAUUUAUUAGUUGGCUGGUCAUAAUAAUUUUGUAAGUACAUGGGAUCCCA